GGGAAAGGGAUGCAGCAUCUUCUGAGUUCUGCUGUGAGACGUGGGAUGGUCCAUGAUUUAAGGGACGAAGGGCUAUUCACAUCUGCACCAGGCACAGGGGUACCAGGCCUAGCAGGUGUGCUGGGUAGUGAAAGUUCCUCAGGGAUAUCAGGAGUUUGUGACAUAACUGAAAAAUAUCCUUGUAGUCAUCUUGUAAUGAAUUUGGGUGGGUACUGCUGGGGCUAACUAAAUACCAAGCGGUGAAACAAUUAUGCUUUGUGAGCGUGACAGAUGAGUCCCUGCUAGUUGCCAAGCGUCACUAUCUAUGCGUGGGCCCGAGGGGAAAAAUGAGGCCACCGAACGUUGUGGCGGGGUGUUAGCCUCUCGGUGUCAAUUAAAGCAUAAGAAAGAAUGGGAGUGACAGGUGAGGCACUCUCUUUGCAACAGUGCAAGGUGGCUAGCUAUGAUUUGGCCCGAGGGACGCAUACCUCCGAGUAUGAGGAUGUUGGCCUCGCGGGACCACUAGCCUAUGGAUUAAGACCAGAAAAUAUAUACCUAAUUGGGCCACAUAACCUAGGACCAGUACCACUCUAAACAUAGAAAGUAGUGGGUUCUGGCGUAGUACCUGUUUGUGAGUCAGGCCGAGCUGUCAAGGUAAACAGCGACUGUAAUAAUAUCGAGGUGUUGAUCUGUGGACAUGAGAUUUGAUAUAUAAACGUCUGAGUGUAAGGUAGUAGUUUGGCCAGACCGUGGGCCCUAAAAAAAAAAUAAAAAAAUUACUUACCCGACACUAUGCAGAGGGUAGAUUUAAAUGGAAGAAGAUGACGGCUUCUGUGCUUGUAAAAGCUACCGCCCGACGUUCAAGAACCUAAAAGAGUAAAUUACACACUUAACUAAUUUAAUAUGUAUCAUUGGCCCCAAGAAUGAAUCAUAAUUAAAUUCCAACCAACCUAGAAAGUAAAUACAAUUUGACACAGAUGUCAGGAAUCACAAUUCCUAAGUACGAACCCCCUGGUAUGAACCUGUGGGAAAAGGUCAGGAAAAUCAGGUCACAACAUCCAGGUUUCAACAUUUAUUUUCUUUAGUAGAAUUUUAUAAGUGACAGUAAUAACGUUUGUAACCCGUAGGAUCAAAAUCCUCUGGAGUACUGGUUGAAUUUGUGCCUAUUUCGUG